GCCCACGUAGCUCAGCGGAUAGAGCACCAGCUUCCGGAGUUGGGUUGUCGGAGGUUCGAGUCCUUCCGUGGGCGCCU
rnacentral:tRNA from 1 species